UACGUCCGAAACGGGUCGGACGUGACCCGAAA
rnacentral:sRNA from 1 species